UGGGGUUUGGCUUAGUGGUAGAGCGCUCGCCUAGCACACGUGAGGCAUGGGUUCGAUCCUCAACACCACAU
rnacentral:tRNA from 1 species